rnacentral:rRNA from 1 species
CCGAAAGGCAGGAGUGCCUGCAAGGGAGCGCGGAGACAGGUGGUGCAUGGCUGUCGUCAGCUCGUGUCGUGAGAUUUUGGGUUAAGUCCCGCAACGAGCGCAACCCUCACCUCUUGUUGCCAUCAGGUCAUGCUGGGCACUCUAGAGGAACUGCCCCGGUCAACGGGGAGGAAGGCGGGGAUGACGUCAAGUCAUCAUGCCCCUUACGUCCUGGGCUACACACGUGCUACAAUGGCCGGUACAAAGGGAUGCCACACCGCGAGGUAGAGCUAAACCCAAAAAGCCGGUCUAAGUUCGGAUUGGAGUCUGCAACUCGACUCCAUGAAGGAGGAAUCGCUAGUAAUCGCGUAUCAGCACGACGCGGUGAAUACGUUCCCGGGCCUUGUACACACCGCCCGUCACACCACGAAAGCCAGCUGUACUCGAAGUCGCUGAG